UGCCUCACGGUACGUACUGUCCGCCCGAGUCUUACCUCUCGGUGAACCGGCAUGCCCUUUAUUGGGUGUGUCGCGGAACCGGGACUUUUACCUUGAGAAAAUUAGAGUGUUCAAAGCAGGCAUUUGCCCGAAUACAUUAGCAUGGAAUAAUAGAAUAGGACGUGCGGUUCUAUUUUGUUGGUUUCUAGGAUCGCCGUAAUGAUUAAUAGGGACAGUUGGGGGCAUUGGUAUUCAGGCGC
rnacentral:rRNA from 1 species